UCCAGAGUACAUGCUGGCUAGGCUCUAUCUGUCAGGCUCCAGCCUGCUCUGGAGUUUUCAUUUAGUAGAAGUCAGCACGUGACUCGGUGCAGCGAAGUUGGCCAGUCUGAGAAACAAGUUUGUACUUCAACACCGGUGAAUACUUCUGAUUUCCCCACAAGGCAAGCAGGUGGACAGUCUGAUGAAGGAGCCAGAACAAACACCUGCAACAACCAAAGGACUUUCUCCAGCUGGUGCUUCUGAGAGUGGCAGGAAGAACAUGAAUCAAGUCCCUCGCUGUCGGAUGGAGGCGAUGCAUGAGAUGCUGGAGACAAAUGAGCAUGUGAAAAAAGUUCUUCCUGCUGGAGCCAGCUCCUCAGAGCCUCUUGUAAAGCUCUUUCAGACCAGAAUUUUCCCUGUGCUGCCAUUCCCCCCUGACGUCUGGGUGGCUCAGGCUUUGAAGUUGUCACUACUCCCAGGCUGAUGGCAUGGAGGAGGCCAAGGAACUCCAAGGAUGAGGGGGCUGGGCCCAGCAUUCCGAAGACCUGACGUCCCUCCAGGGUCCCGCCUCUUCCCACUGGUGUCAGCCCUGCCUCACCAAGAGCCUUGUUAUUUCUGCUCUGUGUUUUCUCAGUCCCAGUGGAAUUCUCAUUUUUUUCCCCUUCUGACUCAAAUCAUUUUAGCUCUUCAGAUUGUAACAAAUAUCAAAGGGCCUAGGGAUAGUACAGUGUUUCCUGGUUCUACAUUAAAAAAAAAAAAGAGUGAACGCGCUAGAGGUUGCUUUUUCUGCAUCUGCGUGGGCUUUAUCUCCUGGGAGGCGGGCAUGAGUAGGCUCAUCGCUAACAAUAGUGGUGCUGAUGGCGACGCAGUUCUGUGGGGUUGGUCCCGGGGUUGGUCCCGUGUCUCGCUCCUCGCAUGUGAGAUUUUAUUGCCUGCUCAUAAAAGGAAGCGGGUGGAGAUAAGAGCACCCCCACGUCUUGCAGGGCGAGGUGGGUCAGGGCUCAGGAGAGGAAGAACCGGGAUCUUAACCCUGGUCUGUCCACAUCAAAGCCUGUGCCUGACCACUCAGGUCAGGGUCCGCUGACUAUGUGGAGAAAGAGGGUCCAUUCUAGACCACACCGGGGCUCAGGGAUCAACCAAUGUUGUGGAAUGAAUGUGUAAACAGAGCCACCACUGAUUUGCCAAUGAGUGUGAAAAUGACUGCUAAAUAAAUUCCUUUUUUUAUUUGAGAGAGGGACUUGGGGGACUGAGGUUGUGGGGGUUGGGGGUGGCUUUAAUUUUCUUGUGGUCUGGAGUCUCUUAAACGGGAGGAUACUGCCAGCCCUGGAGAGGUGGAGGGGCUGUGUGCCUAGAGAAAGGGAAGUGACACUGGAGAACCACAACUCACUCUAGACAGCAGUCUCGACUCAGGACUGGCACAUUUUCUCUGUAAAGGGCCAGACAGUAAAUAUUUUAGGCUUCCAGGGCCCCACAGUCUCUGUUAAAACUGCUCACCCUGCUGUUCUAGCACAAACACACCCAGAUGUCAACAAAUGAGUGUGACUGUGUUUCAAUAAAACUUUAUUGACACUGAA